CCCUCGCAAUUUUUCGAAAUUUUCAGUGUCUUCCCUGCAAAGAGCCAGGAGGCCUUGUGGCACCUCAGAGACUAACAGAUUUACUGGCGCCUAAAAGCUUUCGGGAGCUCAAACCCACUUCCUCAGAUGCUUUGGGCAGGGGGGCGGGGCGCAGCCGGCCGAGCCCCGCCCCCAGGAGGACGCCAUCCCCCCGGGCCUGGGAGUGGGAUGGCAGGGCCCGGGACAGAUGCUGCCUUGACUUCGUCCCUUGUGAAACAAGUGGCGAACUUCCCGCACGCGGGGGCUGCCGAGAGGCGACCGUGGGGACGGGGCGGACUACGCUCCCUUUGCUAGACACGGGGCGAGUGGGCCUGAGGAAGGAGACGCUCCGUUCAUCUUCGCUACCUGCUCCUUGGCCCCCUCGCUCCAGUAUUUGCUCUCCGCCUCCUGGAACAUGUUGUUGCCGCAGAUUUUGGCCUUCGGUGUGGAGCGUAUGAGGCAAGAGCCCCCCAUCUUCCGGUGGAGAGAGUCGGUCUCUUCUGGCGGAGGGACAAGCCGAUGCUUCAGUCAAAUGGCUCCUCAGACGCAAAAGCCUCUCCCAGGAUGACCACAGCGUCUAAGUGGGCGUUUUCCAUCUCCUUGACUUCAUCACCAGUCCCUGAGACAGUGAAAACUGAAGCAGGGCCUCCCUUCUGAUGGUCUCCCUUGCCCCUUGAUCUUUGUUUCCAAUGGUGUCCAUAACUUCGGCCCUUUUUGGCCCCUGCCACCGCGUCCCCAUGUCAGCCCGUGCCCGCGAGCUGCCUCAGGCAGGGAGGCGAUGUGUGUCUUCCCGCAAGGCUCUGCAGCCCGCACUGGCCACCCGGCCCCAUCUCCCUGCGCUCCCCAGAGCCCUGGGAAACCGGCUAGGGACUAACACGGCUGCCACCCUGAACCCUCUGUCUACACUGGAGCUGCUGCCAGCGCCCUCCCUCCGGCAGGGAAGUGGGUUUCUCACCUGUCGUGGACAGAGCAGUGCUCGCAAAGCUCCGAAGUAGCGACCCGUCCAAUAUCUCCACGUAAAUCUGAGGGCCUUGAAAACCGUGUUCCUGCGACAAAGGUUGGUGCCAAGGCAAGACUUCGCAGAGAAACGCCUGCAGAGGGUAAGGAAAAUCCGCGACGCACGUUGUCAGUGACAGGGCUCGGACUCAAAUGCGGGAUACAGCUCAGGUUUAAUGGCCGUGGCAUGUCGUCUUGAACCGACCCGUUCCUGGGACGGCGGAUGGCUGGACGCUGCACAGGCACACGGGCACGCUGUCAUGGAUCCAUAGGAUCUCUGCAACGCCCUGGCUUUUAAACAGUCCUUGGGAGCUGCCCAUUCAGUGCACGAGACCCCCAAGAGGUCCCACUCUUCCACAAGGAUGAGCCAUGGAGUUUCAACAUCUGAGACUGAGCCUCUGGCUUCAACACUCCUAUUCCAACCUGUGAGCUCUGCCCAGCAGGUCCAGCUGAACGACACUCCUCUUCAGAGACUGUUCCUCAGUCAAUGCACAGAGCAAAUUUUUCCUGUGACACUGGGCAGACUUUUAAAACACAGCAGGGUUUAUUAGUCAACUGAAACACAGCACUGGAAAGCCCUUAGAUUAGGACAGAGAAGCGAAGAAGACAAUACAGUCCAUGCUGGCCAAUGCCCCUGAGCCAUCCUGCUGUAGAAAACAGUUUGGUUUCCUUUCACUGUGCCUGUCCAUUUGUCUUUGCUCCGGUAGGGCUCUCUGUAUCUGCAAGCCCAGUUCCUCCUGCUCCCAAAAACAUAACGAGUCCAUGUAUGCUUCACUUAGCCAAGCAAAUAUCCUCCCAUGGAGAGGUGAGAAUUAUUCCCUUGUCUCUGUCGGGUAUUCCACUGAUGUAGGUUGGUCCCAGCCAGUCCUUAAUGACCCAUUCAUAUCACCCCAUGACAGCUACGUGACAAAACACCUCAUGUCUCCUGCUCUUUACAAUCAUAGCAAUACCAAUCACAGAGGGAAACUGAGGUGUAUAUUGGCAUCAUACAAGUAUCACCAAAAUUCCUAGCUCAGUCUCACACUCACACACACACACACAGCUCACUGCCCUUGGAGAGAAAGCAAAAUACAGGAACUGGAGGUUAGUCCAGUGAACACAGUGGAGGAGAAGCUGCAAUCCUCAAACUCUAGUCAAAAAGGAGAGGUAUGUGGUUUCCUACCCAUAGAGAGGGGCUGGGUAGAGGUCUGAUACCCGAGAGGGCAUUGCUUGAGCUGACCAUGGAAGCAGGUCAAAGGCUUAGCUACCCCAGAACUUUGACAUCGCAGAAGCACAUUUUGGGGAAUUAGGAAAUCUAGUGACUCAGGUGUAAUGGGAGGGAGAAUGAAACUCUCCCAGUGUGUGGAGAAGGCUGGGGAAUUAAACACUAAAAUUCAGGAGCAACAGCCUCUAAUUCUUCCGGAAAAGGAGAAUGUAAGAAACAAGAACUGGGCCACGCAACCUCAGGAGGGCCAGGCUCAAAGAUCCAAGGAGCCUGGAGGGAAGACCGCUUGUGGCUGCUGCAGAUGGGGAGAGGGGGGACAAGACUCUUUCCAAACUCUCACUCCUGUUGCCCCGACCUGAUUUUAUGAUCUAUAACCUAGUCUCAGGUCUUGUGGUCAAUUUUAUACUCGCUAGAGGUAAAAUGUCAUGAUCAGAGUAUUGCUUAUCAGCUUGGAACAUGCAUGGAGGAGCAAGGAGGUAAACAUAAAUAAAUGGGUUAUUAAGGGCAGGGACUACACUACAGCCGGGAUCAAAGCUCUGAGAUCGAUCCACCAGUGGUCGAUGUAGCGGGUCUAGUGGACCCCUGUACUCUACCCCUGAUGAGAAGAGUAAGGUAAGUAGACCCUGCGGUAACUCGACCUAAGAUGCAUCGACUCCAGCUAAGUUAUUCACAUAGCUGGAAUUGCUCAAUGUAGGUUGAGUUACAGCGGUAGUGUAGACAUAGCCUAAGCCCGCUACAGUUAAGGGCCUUAUAUUAGGUUGAGGCUUUGUGGGAGUAGUUAUGCUGAAGUCUGGGAUUUACCAAAGAGGCCUAAGGAGAGGAUCCCAGGUGAGAUAUUUUGCACCCUCAUUUUGAGAGACUAAUGAGUAACCACAAACAGGUGCAACACCCCACAGGAUUCUGCAAGAAGGAAGUUUGGGGCAUCUUUAGCAAUUAGACAGGUUUCAGAGUAGCAGCCGUGUUAGUCUGUUUUCGCAAAAAGAAAAGGGGGACUUGUGGCACCUUAGAGACUAACAAACUUAUUAGAGCAUAAGCUUUCAGAGCUACAGCCCACUUCCACUGAAUGCAUCCAAUGAAGUGAGCUGUAGCUCACGAAAGCUUAUGCUCAAAUAAAUUUGUUAGUGUCUAAGGUGCCACAAGUCCUCCCUUUUUUUUUUUUAGUAAUUAGGUUGCUAUGAAGUAUCUCAGCAGUUGGACUGCAUUCAUAUAUUAGAAUUAUUAAGAAAUAAGUGACGUAAAUCAUGAGUAUUAAUGCUUGAUGCCUAAUUAUAGACUUCCCAAAGGCCACAUAUGGGUUGGGGCAGCUAUUGACAUUAUUGUAAUCAGAGUAAAGGAGCAGAUAUGGUAUAUAGCCAUCCUAUUACCAUAAGGAAGGGGAUAAAAUACCUCUCCUCGUUACCAUUUUCUCAUUUUGUCGGGUCCCUGAGACAGUGUAAACUAAAGCAGGGCCUCCCUUCUGAUGGUCUCCCUUGCCCCUCCAUCUUUGUUUCCAAUGGUGUCCACAACUGGUAAAUAUGCACCAUGCAAGACCCUCUUUACUAUACUUAUCUUAGUCUAAUCGUUAGGUGUAUUGAUUUUUGCCUAUGUUUUCAAUUAUAACUGUCUGUAUUAAAUCAAGUUUCUGUGUGUUUCACCCUAUUUCAUCUCCUCCAUUAAAUCUGAGUUGCCAUGGA